ACAGGAGCACAGCUGGAGCUGGGCUGCAGGCACACCUUUCAGCUGACUUGUUGCAAUCUCCUGUCAUGAAGAGAGAACAAGACCUGGGCUCAGCAAGACUGUCCUGCAUGGCCCAGGUGCCCUUCUGCUGAUGUUCAUAUUUCAGCAUGACAUGGAAAGUGGGUUCCCUAAGGUGCCAAACCCAGGUGAGAACUCACAUGGUCAAGCUGAACAUAGUGCCGUCACCAGGCAGCUGCACAAGGCAAGAUCCCAUUUCCGACCUCUCAGUUUCUGUUUCAUGCCAAAGGACAGCACUUAUUGAUAUUGGAAGCUGUUUGCCUGAAGAACAACCAUGAACCUCUUGAUGAUUUGUGAAGAAAUCUGGAGUUGAUUUGUGUAAGAGGGAGGAAUGAUGUUCUGUUUUAUUCUCCCAGCAUCUCACAGCCGUUCUGUUAUGACACUUAAGCCUUACAGGAGUUCCGUGCCCAAGGUAGUAAAUCUUUAUGUCUAGAGGUGGGCUCAGGUUCCCUCAUCAAUUAAUUAAUGAAGGUUAAGUGUCUGAAGGAUAUUUCUGGAAACUAGAUUGGCCGGGGAGUCCUAAUAGGACUGUGCUAAUGAAUCUGAACUAUGAAUUUGAACAUUGCUUCUGUACAUGAGAAGGAAAAAGCGUGCAUCACCCAUAACUUGAGAAAACUUGCAGACCUGUUUUGUUGGGGAUUUUUGUAGACCUGUCAUUCGAGAAACUUGUCUAAGGACAUAUGGUAGACCUCUAAGCACUUACUGAUAAUUGUGGCUUCAGCACUUGCACAUUUCUGUCUGCUACGAGCUCUAUGUCUUUCUCUCAGCAGAAAUUAAGGCAUCUGUGAGUAGAGAGAAUUUUUGUGUUUUACAUCUAAUUCAGUUGUUUAGGCACC